ACUUUGCGCAUGCGCACGGUUCUCAAACAUCCUGUUGACAUUCGCUACAAUAUUUGAAAACAAGAAAGAACAUGUGAUUUUAAGUGACAGUGAACGAUAUAGUGUUAUCAAACAGGCUUUUAUGACAAAACUUACAAUGGCCUUGCCAUCUAUGCCACAUUACUGGACGACUAGGAGGAAUGUCUAUGAACAGGCCAUAGUAAAAACCAGAAACCAUGAUGACCAUCUCCGAGAGAGGUGGAGCAACACAGCCAACUAUUUUAAGAAAUCCAACAUUGCGGCCUGUAAACAGAGUGAAUGGGAGUCAGAGAGAUCACUUAGAUCAAGUAUGGAUGCUUAUGAAAAAGGCAAAGACACAGAGAAGAGGGCCAAAAAUUUAGCUCUACGCAGAGAGAGACUUGCUGCCAUGUUGAGACAGGAGAGGUACAGGUUUGAGGCUGAACUGAAGGGAUACUCAGUGGAUAAUUAUGACCGCCUAGAGGACAUGAGAGACAGAGUGGACUCCCUAAAGAGUGCUCGUGAAGAAAAACGAAAACAUUUAGCAUCAGAAAAGCUGUAUGAAUAUUGGAGACAAAACAAUCCAGAUAUCAGAAAGCUUGAAUCAGAACAAUUAAAAGACCAUGUAGUGGAUAAAUGGAGCUCACAAGUGGAGGAAGUUCGCGAGAAAGAGGAACAGGAAAGGCAAGAAAAAGAAAGAUUCGAGAGAGAAAUGGAGGAGGAGAGAAUUGCAGCUCUAGAAGAGGAACGACGGAAGGAAGAAGAGAAGUUAGAAGAUGAGAAGAGGUGGAAGGACACUUUGAAGGAACAGAUGCUGGAACUCAGAGAUCGGGAGGCAGAGGCAGAGAGAUUGAAGAAGGAACAAGAUGCCCUACAAAAGGAGCAGUGGAGACUAGAAGAUUUAGAAGAAGAGCGUAAAAAGAUGGAGUCAGCUCGUGGGCAGAGAGAAAUGGGACGAAUGCUUCUGAGACAACACAAGGCUCAAAUGAUGAGAAGAUCUCGACAAAUCCAAGAGGAACUGGUAAUAUUAAAGUCUUAUUGAAAUACAUUCUCACUUAAAGCUGGUUUCAAAUACAUGGACAAGCUAUUGCUGGCAUCAUGAAUGUUUUUAGUGAGAUUAAUACAUGGAUAGAGGUCCUGUUAUAAAUGUAUUCACAUAUCAUGUAGUUAGAGAAAUCCAUGAACUAGAGAAGUAUAAUUGUAACCAUGUAAGAUGCAUUGAGUGUUUCAAUGUAGGAACAAGACAAGAAAAUGUUGGAGGCUUUGAUUGAGAGAGAGAAAGAGGAAAGGGAAAUUCUGACCACGAGGCGAGAAAAAGCUCAAGCUGACGCUGAAUGGAUGAAGCAGGUGAUAGAAGACCAGCUCCGAGUGGAGAAGGCCAGAGAAGCUGAGCUAGACAUGUUAUACCAGGAAGAGGCUGCUCGAAUGUGGGAGAAGAGAGAUGCUGAGUGGGCGCGGGAAAGUAAAGCUCGCGAGAGACUGAUGAGAGAGGUAUUCAAGGACAGACAAGAGCAGAUUGAGGAGAAGCUAGAGGAAGUACAAAGAGAGCGAGAGGAGUCGCUACGGCAACGAGAACAGCUGAUCGAGGAGAUGGAGAUAGCCAAUCAGAUGACACAGCGGGACCUAGAGAGGGCCGAGCAACAGAAAGAGGCUCUCAAGCUUGAUCUCAAGGGACAGAUGACGGCGCGUCAGGAGCAGCAGAUGACGGCGCGACAGAGGAUGAAGGAGGAGGAGGAUCGGGAGCAACAGGAGGAGCGCGAGUACGAGGACUUCCUCCAGCAUGAGACGGAGAGGAUGAAGGUGCGCGGCUUUGCCCCAAAGAAUUUCGGAAGGAGAACGGCCUGGAUGUAGGUCACAUGACCCUUGCUGACCGGCCCAGCUCACUGCCCAACACUCGAGAUAAAUCAGAGGCCCACUCUCAGCAAAACCCCCAGACAAUUGUGAUAUUCCGUUUACAACAUGUAGAUCUUUUGUUGUCCAGAAAUCUCAUUUUGUGCAACUGUAGAGCAGACUUUUAAAAUUAUUCUCAUUUGAGAAUGUGCAUAACUGAAUAUAUGUAAAUAUCAAUAUUAUUUACACAUCAUAGAUUUUUAUUAUUAAAUGUUUUAUCAGGAAAC
rnacentral:misc_RNA from 1 species